GUUUUGAAUAAAUAGCUUUGGUCGUUACGUGGAAAUCGGCCAAGGGACCAGAUGUCGACUCGCGGACACGGUAGCAGGCGAGGUAGAGGUAGGACAGGCACCGUUACUCCUGCCCCCAUAGGGACUGAUCCAGUAGACUUUAUGGCUGCCCUGGGAAAAUGGCUGCAGCUAUGAUAGGAUAAUAUCCGCAUAUCCGCGGUAAUUAUCCGCAUUCGAUCCGAAUUUUGUGGAUAUUAUCCGAUCCGCACUAUGAUAGGAUCGGAUUGCGAAUUUGGCAGUGAUAUCCGCGGAUCCGAUCCGCAAAUCCGCAUAUCCGCACAUU